AAGCGCCGACAGGCAACGACCAAGCAAGAAACAGACAAGACAACAAAAACAAAUCCAGUUCUUGAGCUCCAAAUCAAAGAUCUCACAAGGAUCCAGAUGCUUCACAUAAGAGUCUUGGAGAAGAAGAACCAAAACACUGUCUCCAAACCUCACAAACAGAACAAGAAGAACAAGAAGAAGGAAGCUGUCACCUCUCGGUGGAGGAAGGGGAGGCACCAAACCUCACAAACAGAACAAGAAGAACAAGAAGAAGGAAGCUGUCACCUCUCCGGUGAAGGAGGAGAAGCCUCGUCAGCUCGUGGCUACACUAGAGUCCGGUAUGUCUCUCGGUUCAGGAGAGUACUUCAUGGACGUGUUGGUCGGUUCACCACCAAAACACUUCUCCUUGAUCCUCGACACAGGAAGCGACCUAAACUGGAUCCAAUGCUUGCCUUGCUACGACUGCUUCCAACAAAACGGUGCGUUUUACGACCCAACAACUUCUACCUCUUUCAAGAACAUAACUUGCAACGAC
rnacentral:lncRNA from 1 species